rnacentral:rRNA from 1 species
UACGGAGGGUGCAAGCGUUAUCCGGAUUUAUUGGGUUUAAAGGGUCCGCAGGCGGGUCUGUAAGUCAGGGGUGAAAUCCGGCAGCUUAACUGUCGAACUGCCUUUGAUACUGCAGGUCUUGAGUGGGAAUGAAGCAGCUGGAAUGUGUGGUGUAGCGGUGAAAUGCAUAGAUAUCACACAGAACACCGAUAGCGAAGGCAGGUUGCUAAUUCUCAACUGACGCUGAGGGACGAAAGCGUGGGGAGCGAACAGGAUUAGAUACCCUGGUAGUCCACGCCGUAAACGAUGGAUACUGUCUGUUGGUUCGUAAGGAUCAGUGGAUAAGCGAAAGUGAUAAGUAUCCCACCUGGGGAGUACGUUCGCAAGAAUGAA